rnacentral:rRNA from 1 species
CGGCGGACGGGUGAGUAACACGUGGAUAACCUACCUAUAAGACUGGGAUAACUUCGGGAAACCGGAGCUAAUACCGGAUAAUAUAUUGAACCGCAUGGUUCAAUAGUGAAAGACGGUUUUGCUGUCACUUAUAGAUGGAUCCGCGCUGCAUUAGCUAGUUGGUAAGGUAACGGCUUACCAAGGCAACGAUGCGUAGCCGACCUGAGAGGGUGAUCGGCCACACUGGAACUGAGACACGGUCCAGACUCCUACGGGGGCAGCAGGC